rnacentral:rRNA from 1 species
UACAGAGGGUGCGAGCGUUAAUCGGAAUUACUGGGCGUAAAGCGUGCGUAGACGGUUAUUUAAGUCGGAUGUGAAAGCCCCGGGCUCAACCUGGGAAUUGCAUUCGAGACUGAAUAGCUAGGGUACGGUAGAGGGAAGUGGAAUUUACGGUGUAGCAGUGAAAUGCGUAGAUAUCGUAAGGAAGACCAGUGGCGAAGGCGGAUCUCUGGACAGUUACUGACACUGAGGCACGAAGGCCAGGGGAGCAAACGGG